rnacentral:rRNA from 1 species
UAGGGAAUCUUCCACAAUGGACGCAAGUCUGAUGGAGCAACGCCGCGUGAGUGAAGAAGGUUUUCGGACCGUAAAGCUCUGUUGUUGGUGAAGAAGGAUAGAGGUAGUAACUGGCCUUUAUUUGACGGUAAUCAACCAGAAAGUCACGGCUAACUACGUGCCAGCAGCCGCGGUAAUCGUAGGUGGCAAGCGUUGUCCGGAUUUAUUGGGCGUAAAGCGAGCGCAGGCGGAAGAAUAAGUCUGAUGUGAAAGCCCUCGGCUUAACCGAGGAAUUGCAUCGGAAACUGUUUUCUUGAGUGCAGAAGAGGAGAGUAGAACUCCAUGUGUAGCGGUGGAAUGCGUAGAUAUAUGGAAGAAUACCAGUGGCGAAGGCGGCUCUCUGGUCUGCAACUGACGCUGAGGCUCGAAAGCAUGGGUAGCGAACAGGAUUAGAUACCCUGGUAGUCCAUGCCGUAAACGAUGAGUGCUAAGUGUUGGGGGGC